UGAGUACGAGAUGCUACGGCAUCGAAGCAGUCUAUGUCAUACUUCCAAGAAAAGCUUGCAAUGUCAUAAACAAAUAAUGCCUGUACCAUAACCGACACAGGUGGGUAGGUAGAGUAUACUAAGGGGCGCGAGAUAACUCUCUCUAAGGAACUCGGCAAAAUGACUCCGUAACUUCGGGAGAAGGAGUGCCUUAUUUUUAUAAGGUUGCAAUAACAAGAUCCAAGCAACUGUUUACCAAAAACACAGGUCUCCGCUAAGUCGUAAGACGAUGUAUGGGGGCUGACGCCUGCCCAGUGCCAGAAGGUUAAAGAAGUUGGUUAGCAUUAGCGAAGCUGAUAACUGAAGCCCUGGUGAACGGCGGCCGUAACAAUAACGGUCCUAAGGUAGCGAAAUUCCUUGUCGGGUAAGUUCCGACCCGCACGAAAGGCGUAAUGAUUUGGAUACUGUCUCGGAGAGGGGCUCGGUGAAAUAGACUUGUCUGUGAAGAUGCGGACUACCUGCACCUGGACAGAAAGACCCUAUGAAGCUUUACUGUAACUUGAGAUUGAAAUUGGACUUUAUCUGCGCAGUAUAGGUGGGAGACGUUGAAAAUAUUCUUGCGGGAAUAUUGGAGUCAUCAGUGAGAUACCACUCUUAUAAUGUUAGAUUUCUAACUUUGUAUCAUUAUCUGGUCAAAGAACAGUUUCAGGCGGGCAGUUUGACUGGGGCGGUCGCCUCCCAAACGGUAACGGAGGCGCACAAAGGUUUCCUCUGAACGUGUAGAAAUCGUAUCUAGAGUGUAAAGGCAUAAGGAAGCUUGACUGUGAGACCUACAAGUCGAGCAGGGACGAAAGUCGGUCUUAGUGAUCUGACGGUGCUGAGUGGAAAGGCCGUCACUCAACGGAUAAAAGUUACUCUAGGAUAACAGGCUGAUCUCCCCCAAGAGUUCACAUCGACGGGGAGGUUUGGCACCUCGAUGUCGGCUCAUCGCAUCCUGGGGCGGUAGUACGUCCCAAGGGUUGGGCUGUUCGCCCAUGAAAGCGGUACGCGAGCUGGGUUCAGAACGUCGUGAGACAGUUCGGUCCAUAUCCGGUGUAGGCGUUAGAAUAUUGAGAGGAGCCUUCUUUAGUACGAGAGGACCGAGAAGGACAUACCUCUGGUGUACCAGUUAUCGUGCCAACGGUAAACGCUGGGUAGCCAUGUAUGGAGAGGAUAACCGCUGAUAGCAUCUAAGUGGUAAGCCCACCUCAAGAUAAGUA
rnacentral:rRNA from 1 species